CCUACGGGUGGCAGCAGUGGGGAAUAUUGCACAAUGGGGGAAACCCUGAUGCAGCGACGCCGCGUGAAGGAAGAAGGAUUUCGGUAUGUAAACUUCUAUCAGCAGGGAAGAAAAUGACGGUACCUGACUAAGAAGCCCCGGCUAACUACGGGCCAGCAGCCGCCGUAAUUCGUAGGGGGCAAGCGUUAUCCGGAUUUACUGGGUGGAAAGGGAGCGUAGGCGGUUUAGCAAGUCAGAAGUGAAAGGCCGGGGCUCAACUCCGGGGUUGCUUUUGAAACUGUUGAACUAGAGUGCAGGAGAGGUAAGUGGAAUUCCUAGUGUAGCGGUGAAAUGCGUAGAUAUUAGGAGGAACACCAGUGGCGAAGGCGGCUUACUGGACUGUAAAUGACGCUGAGGCUCGAAAGCGUGGGGAGCAAACAGGAUUAGAUACCCGGGUAGUC
rnacentral:rRNA from 1 species